rnacentral:rRNA from 1 species
GACAGAGGGUGCAAACGUUGCUCGGAAUCACUGGGCGUAAAGGGCGUGUAGGCGGGAAGGUAAGUCGGGCGUGAAAUCCCUGAGCUCAACUCAGGAACUGCACUCGAAACUACUUUUCUUGAGUGCCGGAGAGGAAAGCGGAAUUCCUGGUGUAGAGGUGAAAUUCGUAGAUAUCAGGAGGAACACCAAUAGCGAAGGCAGCUCGCUGGGACGUUACUGACACUGAGGCGCGAAAGCGUGGGGAGCGAACAGG